rnacentral:tRNA from 1 species
GCCGUAUGUCCGGGUGGUGAGGGAGCUGUCUUGAAAACAGUUGGCCUUUCGAGGCUUGCAGGUUCAAAUCCUGUGUACGACG